UGCCUUUUUGUGCGUGUGUGUGUGUGUGUGUGUGUAUGUGCGCGCGCAUGGGUAUAUGUGUGUGUGUGUGUGUGCGUGCGUGUGUGUGUGCUAGUGACUGUGUGUGUGUGCAUGGAAGGUAAAGCCAGUCAGUCAGUGAGAAGCAAAGCUGAACGGCUUCCCGAAGAGCACUGAGUUUUCUGUGCCAGAUUCUGCUCCAGUGGCUAGGACCUUUAUGGCUGCUGUUUCUUUUGCUCUGGGCUCUGAUGGAGGGGGAAAAAAAAAAAAAAAAAAAAGCCACGGUGGAUCCCGUCCCUAAAGUAGAAAUUUUCUUUUUCGUUCUGCAAACAAGGCUAAAGAUCGGAGGAGAACGAAUGCGAAAGUAAUUCGGGAUUGUGGUCGUGCCAUUAAAAGUGUUCGGCUUCAGAACGAAAUUAUUCGGGAAACCCGAGCAUUUCUUCUUACUGUAUCGACAGUAUUUGAAAGUUGUGUGUGCUUUGAGUAAUCUGGUUCAAGUGACAACAAUCUCUGCAUGUCAAUGUUUUCUACAGCUUAUGGAGCGAAAGCUAGCUUUGCCAUUGGAAAGGAAGAAGCUUUUGCUAGCAGUCUGUAGAAGGAUUAAAUGUUGAACGUGGGGAAGAGGCAAAAAGUGAAUACACGCCCCAAGGUUAUCCUUGCAUCGUGAAUGGGUUUAAAGUACUCCUCUGUAACCCAGGGCCCACCUGAACAGUAGGACUAAAAGUAUAAUGGGGAAAUAUUUCAAUUAGAAACCCCUUAACAAACAUUUAAUCCUUCUUUCAGGCAGUAAGGGGAAUAGAACAAAAUUGUUACUGUACAAAUCUGCUGGAAGCAGAUUUUAACCCAUUUGUAGACGCUUCCCUCUGAUGCAUUAUAAUAUGCCUGCUUGCAAGACGAGGCAGUGAAGAUUUUUUCCGGUGUUCUUUGUUUUUUCUUUUCAAAAGUUAAGGACUAUACUCUAAGAAAAGUCUGUUCAGUCAGCUGAUACACUGUUUGAAUGUAUGUAUAUGUCUUGCCUGCUUAUUUGAUCUUUUCUGCCCCCUACUUGAAACGGUGGUUUGUUUAUCUGGGGGGAAGGAGGGUUGUUGAUCUGGGUCGGGGGGGCGGGGGGGGGAUGUUGUUUUUUGGGGUUGUUUUGGUUUUGGGGUUUUUUUUGUUAACAAUAGCAGUGAAAGUUUUGCUGACAGCAAGUAUGACUACUAAGCAAUUCAGUUUAUUGGAAGACGAAUUCUACCGGAUCAUAUCAGACUUUUCCUAGUCCCUGAGACCCUAACUUGUGAGGUUUUUUAGCAACAAUCACAAGUCAGGCUCUUGGGACCUAGGCGGAGGGGAACCAGCAGCUUUGGACUGUGAUUGUUUCUCUGCAGAAUUUAGAGAACCAAAGGAGCUUUCCUUGUCUGGAAGGGAAAAAAGGAAAAUAUACCUAUUUCAAAUGUUAAGCAACAGAACUGUUCCUAAAAGAAAACAAACAAACAAACAAACUGUUAUCCAUUGUGCAACAUUAGGAUGUUACAUAUUUGUAAGUUUAGAAAACUGGACUAGAUGCCAUGCAACAUUUAGAAUUAAAAUUUAAACUGAAUGCCAGCUUGCAUCUCCAAAAAAACGCCACAACAGACAACUGAAAACAGAUACCGAAAUACACAAGAAGCUUUCAACCAUAUUGUUAUUAUUAUUAUUUAUUUUUAUUGUUAUAGACAAUUCUGAUUGUUAGUUACUGGAAAGUGUAAAAAAUACCAUAUAAAUGUAUUGUAACAGCAUUAAUUAACUUUUAAAACAUAAAGCAUAAAGGCUGAUGUUUGAGGCCUAGAAAACAUUCAUUCUAUUGUUGUUUGAAUAAUGAUUUCAGUCUACAGGAAAACUGUUGCUUAGCUUUUCCUGUUAAAUGGGACAAAGAUUAUUCUGUAGUUAGUUGCCAUCAUUUUUCUUUGUCUAAGUGAGGACACAAUAUGGCAUUUAAAAUAUUCUCUCGUUUAAUUGACAUACUAAUCUGAUAGAGAAUAAUGGUGUAAAAAUCGUACUGCAGCACUAAAAUAACUUUGCACACAGAAUCACAUUUCUUGUACCUGUUCAGUUUAAACUGAGCCGGCAAUACUCUAAGCACUGCACUCAACUUCUAGCCUCUCCAUCACAAAAAACCAAGGGGAAAACCAGUGAGCUUUAGGUUGUCCCUCAUGUGUUAAGUACUUCACUGACUUUGCAUAAGAAGAUUCACAAGCACACGAGUUACGCAGCACUGUUCAUUAGUCUUGAACUUCUGAUCUGCAACGCAUAAUUUGAUUUGUAUUUCUUAAUAUUUUAUAGGGGGGUUAGUCCCGAGUCAUUUUUCUCUGUUGCCUGUGUCUAACCCAAGAUGCUGCAGGACCUUGUUGAUACAUCAGACUUCACUGAGACAAAGGCUUCACACAGAUCAGGCAUCUAAACUAUUUUUUCAUUUCAGAAGCGGUAUUUUGGCUGCAGUAUAUUUUUUCCACUUGUGUGGGAGGAAUUGUGUUUUAUUGUAAACAUCAACACUAUUGUUAAAAUAAAUUGUUCUUAUCUGUUAGUAUAAUA